AAAAAAAUCAUCCACGCUAUUGUUAAGAAACUACAAAAGCCCCUCCUUCACUACUACUUUUUGCAACAGCUGUUGGAACUUUUCACUUUUAAUACCAACUCAACUUAAAUCAAUGGAGACAAAUGCUAUCAUGAGUUUGAUUUAACUACAGCUUCAUUCUAACGGUUGAAGAUGAAGUUUGUUCAUUCAGCGGCAUCUCUACCAUGCAAUUUGAUUGGUCUUUCGUCCGAGAUAUUUUUUUCCGUUUCAACGACCGUAAUUUCCUUGGUUAAAUGCAUAUGCAUUCGAACAGAACCUACAAAUAGUGCUCAAGAAGCAAUGCAACUUUUGACAUCAUAAUUUUUAUUUACUUUGAUUUGUUCAGUGUAAGUGAACCUCAGUUUGUGAUGGAUAUAGGUGCAUUGGGAUACCGAGCAAAAUAGUGGGCAUGUUAUCAAACUUUAGUGAUCAUAAUUCAGAAAUGUUUCUUGAAGCUGGAGUUAAUGGCAACACUCAGAAACCUUUGACUCGAAGAAUUUUUGAACACAUCAUUGAAAUUCUUCACUUCAUAUGAAUAUGAUGUUCGUCAUUGUUAUGAUGUGCUAUGCUCAAAAUUUGUAGGAGAGAGAGAGACAUUGACUAUUUUAAGUUUAAAUAUUAAAUAAAUUAUGAAAUGUAUGGGAUUAAAAAUAAAAGUAGUUUAUCUACAAUAUUUUUGAAAAUAAUAACUACAGAGAACAGUUUGAUGAAGGAAGCAAACUCAUCAUCAAUGAAUGAAAGGACUAAUGCAACUGAAAAGAUGGAAUCUAAUCUCUCGUCAAUUCCUGAACCAUUACCAAAAACUAUGAUUGGACUUGCAUCAUCGCCGCAGCAAGACAUAAUACUUUCUAAUCCUCCUCAAAGUCACAUUAUCACAAUACUAAUGGAUGAUAUUGGAUUCACCUGAGCCUCCUUAAGGCUAAAUUUCUAUCUCCUAGCUAUAUGUUCUCAUGU